AAACUCUCAACCCUUCUUACUUUUUUUUUGAGUUCGAAUGGCGUUGGAUGUGGAGGCUUGCCGGACCUGUCCAAGGGUUCAGCUCCUCUGAAAUGCAUUAGCAGUACGACCAUUACUUGGGCUACGCUAAGCUGUGAUAAUAUCUAAGCUAGCUUCGUUCCAGAGUGUUGGCAGAGCUCGGGUGUUUGAAGGGUUUGCCUCAUGGCUCCCUUUGUGUUCUCUCUCUUCUAGAAGAGAGAGAUACCUAUGCGACUCUGUGAAAGGUUUUGUGACCGCUUCGAACCGUCUUCUUGACUGAGACAACCUUAACUGAUUA
rnacentral:misc_RNA from 1 species